GCCUGAGUCAUUGGGUAUUGUUGUUGGAAUUGUUUUCUUGGUCUUGGCCAUCUUAUUUCAGUAUUCUAACUUCACAUCCGAUUCCAAAUGGCUUGUUGAGUACAAUGCAGCAUUGGCAUCCAUCUGCUUCAUGACAUUACUUGGAUUUGUCAAUAAUGUCCUUGAUGUCCCUUGGAGAGUGUGAGUAUCCAGUAAUCUAUAGCUUCUGCUCUGUAAUUGAUGGAUAUACAAGCUAUAUAUGGGGCUUUUGGCGAUUUUAUGCACAAACUCUAUAAAUAUCCAUGCUGGUCUGAAUGGAUUUGAAGUUGGGCAAACAGUUGUAAUUGCAUCUGCUAAGCAUAAAGUUUGCAAACCAAUUGGGUUAUAACUUUGUUACAGAAUAUGACUCAUUUUAGCAAUUUGCAGAUUUUGACACACAAAAUCAUGCAAAUUGGAGCAUCUACAAAUCCUGAAUAUAAGCAGGCCCAAAUUGGGGUUUG